GACUAGAGUCUUGUAGAGGGGGGUAGAAUUUCAGGUGUAGCGGUGAAAUGCGUAGAGAUCUGAAGGAAUACCGGUGGCGAAGGCGGCCCCCUGGACAAAGACUGACGCUCAGGUACGAAAGCGUGGGGAGCAAACAGGAUUAGAUACCCUGGUAGUCCACGCCGUAAACGAUGUCUACUCGGAAUUUGGUACCUU
rnacentral:rRNA from 1 species